rnacentral:rRNA from 1 species
UACGAAGGGUGCAAGCGUUACUCGGAAUUACUGGGCGUAAAGCGUGCGUAGGUGGUUUGUUAAGUCUGAUGUGAAAGCCCUGGGCUCAACCUGGGAAUUGCAUUGGAUACUGGCAGGCUAGAGUGCGGUAGAGGAUGGCGGAAUUCCCGGUGUAGCAGUGAAAUGCGUAGAGAUCGGGAGGAACAUCCGUGGCGAAGGCGGCCAUCUGGACCAGCACUGACACUGAGGCACGAAAGCGUGGGGAGCAAACCGG